CCUACGGGAGGCAGCAGUGAGGAAUAUUGGUCAAUGGGCGUAAGCCUGAACCAGCCGAGUCGCGUGAGGGAUGAAGGUUCUAUGGAUCGUAAACCUCUUUUAUAAGGGAAUAAAGUGUGGGACGUGUCCUGUUUUGUAUGUACCUUAUGAAUAAGGAUCGGCUAACUCCGUGCCAGCAGCCGCGGUAAUACGGAGGAUCCGAGCGUUAUCCGGAUUUAUUGGGUUUAAAGGGUGCGUAGGCGGCCUUUUAAGUCAGCGGUGAAAGUGUGUGGCUCAACCAUAGAAUUGCCGUUGAAACUGGUAGUCUUGAGUAUGUUUGAGGUAGGCGGAAUGCGUGGUGUAGCGGUGAAAUGCUUAGAUAUCACGCAGAACCCCGAUUGCGAAGGCAGCCUGCCAAGCCAUGACUGACGCUGAUGCACGAAAGCGUGGGGAUCAAACAGGAUUAGAUACCCCUGUAGUC
rnacentral:rRNA from 1 species